GAUGAACGCUAGCGGCAGGCUUAACACAUGCAAGUCGAGGGGUAACAUAGAAAAGCUUGCUUUUCUGAUGACGACCGGCGCACGGGUGCGUAACGCGUAUACAACCUACCUUUUAGCGGGGAAUAGCCCAGGGAAACUUGGAUUAAUGCCCCAUAGUAUAUAGACUUCUCCUGAAGUUUAUAUUAAACAUUUAUGGCCAUUAGAUGGGUAUGCGUCCUAUUAGCUAGUUGGUGUGGUAACGGCACACCAAGGCUACGAUAGGUAGGGGUCCUGAGAGGGAGAUCCCCACACUGGUACUGAGACACGGACCAGACUCCUACGGGAGGCAGCAGUGAGGAAUAUUGGACAAUGGGCGGGAGCCUGAUCCAGCCAUGCCGCGUGCAGGAAAACUGCCCUAUGGGUUGUAAACUGCUUUUACAGAGGAAGAACCACCCCCACGUGUGGGGGUUUGACGGUACUCUGCGAAUAAGGAUCGGCUAACUCCGUG
rnacentral:rRNA from 1 species